rnacentral:lncRNA from 1 species
UGGUUGAAUCAGACCAUAAACCAACAUCUCUUAUACAUGUUUCUCAAUUUUAGCCUUUUGAAAAUGAGGGUACCUAUAUUGCUGCACUGUCAGAGGGGCCGAAUUAGGGAGGAGGGAAAUUUUGUGAUCAGUAUAGCGUGAUGGAGGAAGAGAAGGGGAUUUUCGGAAAAGCUUGUAGUAUCUAUGUAAGAGGGAAGACAUUUGAGGGAAAGGAUGAGCAGGGACAACAUGUAUGUUUGAUUGAGUCGAUGACAAUGGAGUAGGAAGUAUUCUGAUGUGGAAGAAUCCUGCGGCCCCAUGAGUUUGUAGGAGGCGUUUGACUUGAUGGGUUGAAAUAUC